rnacentral:rRNA from 1 species
UACGUAGGGGGCAAGCGUUAUCCGGAUUUACUGGGUGUAAAGGGAGCGUAGACGGCUUUGCAAGCCAGAUGUGAAAGCCCGGGGCUCAACCCCGGGACUGCAUUUGGAACUGUGUGGCUAGAGUGUCGGAGAGGCAGGCGGAAUCCCAAGUGUAGCGGUGAAAUGCGUAGAUAUUAGGAGGAACACCAGUGGCGAAGGCGGCCUGCUGGACGAUGACUGACGUUGAGGCUCGAAAGCGUGGGGAGCAAACAGG